GGCCUGGUGGUGUAGUGGUAACACCCCUGCUUUAUCUUCGACAGGUGAAUGGUAAGCGGGAGAUCCCUUGUUCGAUUCGAGGUCAGGCCA